UGUCAGAAAAGUUACCACA
rnacentral:ncRNA from 2 species